GGUUAACGCUGGCGGCGUGCCUAACACAUGCAAGUCGAACGGUUCUAAGCGCGAGCUUAGGAUAGUGGCGAACGGGUGAGUAAAAGGUAGGAAUCUACCCCUUGGACGGAGAUAGCUACUGGAAACGGUAGGUAAACUUCGAUAAGCCCGAGAGGGGAAAGUGGUGAGACAGCCGAGGGAUGAGCCUACUCUCCAUCAGGUAGUUGGUGAGAUAAAGCUUACCAAGCCGAUGACGGAUAACCGGUGUGAGAGCAUGAACGGUCACAAGGGCACUGAGAGACGGGCCCUACUCCUACGGGAGGCAGCAGUGGGGAAUCUUGGACAAUGGGCGAAAGCCUGAUCCGGCGACGCCGCGUGGAGGAAGAAGUCCUUCGGGAUGUAAACCUCUUUCAGUAGGGACGAAGCGAAAGUGACGGUACCUACAGAAGAAGGACCGGCCAACUACGUG
rnacentral:rRNA from 1 species